GCCAUGUAGUAUCUUAUUUUCAUUAAUUGCUCAUUACAAUCAUUUAUAGUAAUAGUUCAUGAGUAUUACAAAGUUCCCUCCCAAAGAUCACAAGGAACUCGCCACUCCUAAAUACCCGGAGAAGUCGAAGAGACUGUUACAUCUGGAGCGGAGCUAUUGGAACUCUUAAAUUUCCUGCCUUCCUUAAUUUCUCCAUUUGUUCCACUGCAUAGUGUUUCACUAAUCACCGUAUGCACCAUUUUGUCCAGCUGGUUCGUAUCAGUUACUUAGUGUGCGGCGCUGUUGCCUCCUUCAAUAGUCAUGUCAUCUGCUUUCUUGUGUUUACCACUUAGGUCUAGGGUUAUUUAUG
rnacentral:misc_RNA from 1 species